CAGAGAUGUCUGGGCCUUGACCAAUGAGAUCUUCAGGAAUACUUCAGCAGCUAUUUCGGAUAUUUCUCUAUGGAUUUUCUCAUGGGACUAAGUGGAAGUUGGAAAAGUAUCAUCAAACUCUUCUUGAGAUUCCUUUUUGAUAAGGCAUGCCAGACAGAAUUACUUUGAACUGAGAAAAAGAUCUGGAAAGAUGUGACCCUGCCAUAUCCCCGUCCUCCUCAAAAUGACCCAUGAACUUCCCCUAAAUAGGAAGAUUGCAGAAAAAUUUGUGGCUGAAGAGAAUGCACUGAGCAGAAAGAUAACUGCCCUUAUUCUAAAUUCCAGUCUUCAAUCAAGUACUAAGAUGGUCUACACUUUGCCUAUCACUGCACUGCACCUGUUUCUGGAAUCUACUACAAACAUCUUUCUACUGAGUCCUUGUAUGCUUGACAAGAAUACCACCAUUGCCAACAGUUCUGCGCUGAGCCCUCUUUUCCACGGUGAGGUAAAUAAUGUGGUGGGCACACUGCACUGCUAGUUUAAUUUACUUUGUACACAGACACUCCUUAAGUUUAUGAAGGAGUUACAUCCAAUAAACCCACAAGUCGAAAAAAU